rnacentral:snRNA from 1 species
GUAACUGGCAGCACGUACACUAGCACUGUGAACGACAAAGAGAGACCUAGCACGGCCCCUGCGCAAGGAUGACCUGCUCAUUUCUGAAGCAUUGCAUAUUUUU